AGAGUUUGGAUCAUGGCUCAGAACGAACGCUGGCGGCAUGCCUAACACAUGCAAGUCGAACGAAGUCUUCGGACUUAGUGGCGCACGGGUGCGUAACGCGUGGGAAUCUGCCCUUGGGUACGGAAUAACUCAGAGAAAUUUGUGCUAAUACCGUAUAAUGACUUCGGUCCAAAGAUUUAUCGCCCAAGGAUGAGCCCGCGUGAGAUUAGCUAGUUGGUGAGGUAAAAGCUCACCAAGGCGACGAUCUCUAGCUGGUCUGAGAGGAUGAUCAGCCACACUGGGACUGAGACACGGCCCAGACUCCUACGGGAGGCAGCAGUGGGGAAUAUUGGACAAUGGGCGAAAGCCUGAUCCAGCAAUGCCGCGUGAGUGAUGAAGGCCUUAGGGUUGUAAAGCUCUUUUACCCGGGAUGAUAAUGACAGUACCGGGAGAAUAAGCUCCGGCUAACUCCGUG
rnacentral:rRNA from 1 species